rnacentral:lncRNA from 1 species
CCUAGAGGCUAGAAGGGAGGAUGCCAUGGCUCUGACAAGGCCCAAGAGGUCAGGGAGGGGUCCCUUGGCCACAUUUCCUCUGCAGUGCUCGGAAACAACUCACUGGUCUUUAAUUUUCUGCGAAGAUCGGUGUCUUACUUCAUCCCUCCAGCUGGCAUGGCUGGAGUCAAGAAUCCCUGCCUGCUUCCCUAUGGCAAGGCCCUCUACAGCUACGAGGGGAAGGAACCUGGCGACCUCAAGUUCAACAAGGGGGACAUCAUCGUCCUGCGGCGCAAGGUGGAUGAACAGUGGUACCAUGGCGAGCUGCACGGCACACAGGGCUUCCUCCCAGCCAGCUAUAUCCAGUGCAUCCAGCCCUUGCCACAUGCCCCGCCCCAGGGAAAAGCACUUUAUGAUUUCGAGAUGAAGGACAAAGACCAAGACAAGGACUGUCUGACCUUCACCAAGGUAAGGUGGGCUCUGGGGUGGGUCCCGCCAGCCCGUGCAGCCUCUGUCCACCCAGGGCUCUUCCCAGCCACAGGCCUGCAGCCAGCCAGUGUCUUUCCUCAGAUUCUGAAUCCUGGCUCCUCCCAGAACCCUGAGCAAAUGACCCAGCAGCCUCCCUCCCUGUGCCUCCAUGAAUGGGGUGGUGGUUUUUUUGAUUGAAUGCUAUGGAGGGCAGCAGCCUGAC